AAACCAUGAUGUGGACACUCUAAGAGAAGAUCCUUAAAACGUUCCAUACACCUAGAAAAUGAUUCAUUUGGUUUUUGACGAAACUAGAGAAUGUCGUUCCUAAGUUU
rnacentral:snoRNA from 1 species